rnacentral:rRNA from 1 species
GCCCCCGCACAAGCAGCGGAGCGUGUGGUUUAAUUCGAUGGUACACGAAGAACCUUACCGGGGCUUGACAUACACGUGAUCGCAUCAGAGAUGGUGCUUUCCUUGAAGCAAUUCAUGGACACGUGCACAGGUGUUGCA